GACGAACGCUGGCGGCGUGCCUAAUACAUGCAAGUCGAACGAGAGCAACCGGUGCUUGCACUGGUCAAUCUAGUGGCGAACGGGUGAGUAACACGUGGGUAACCUGCCCGUCAGAGGGGGAUAACAUCCGGAAACGGAUGCUAAAACCGCAUAGGUCUUCGAACCGCAUGGUUUGAAGAGGAAAAGAGGCGCAAGCUUCUGCUGAUGGAUGGACCCGCGGUGCAUUAGCUAGUUGGUGAGGUAACGGCUCACCAAGGCCGUGAUGCAUAGCCGACCUGAGAGGGUGAUCGGCCACAUUGGGACUGAGACACGGCCCAAACUCCUACGGGAGGCAGCAGUAGGGAAUCUUCCGCAAUGGACGCAAGUCUGACGGAGCAACGCCGCGUGAGUGAAGAAGGUUUUCGGAUCGUAAAACUCUGUUGUUAGAGAAGAACAAGUGCUAGAGUAACUGUUAGCGCCUUGACGGUAUCUAACCAGAAAGCCACGGCUAACUACGUG
rnacentral:rRNA from 1 species